GUUUUUCUGCAUCAGGACAGUUGUUGUAAGAAAUGUGUUUCCAUGCACCUGCCUCGACCUUUAGGACUGAUGUUAUGCUCUUCCGUUUUGUACUCAGUCAAGUAAUGUUUUUAUGGUUCAUGAAGAUGACGAGCGUGGCAAUCUCGGCGGGCUCGCUAAAGUCAGG